AUACUACUCCCUCCGUCCCAUAUUAACUGAUUUUCUAUUGCAUGUAUCUAGAAGCUUUUUAGGCAUAGAUACAUCCAAAUUUGAGUCACUUAAUAUGGGACGGAGGGAGUAUUCA
rnacentral:pre_miRNA from 1 species